CUUAUAAAGUAGAGUCACCUGGAAUUCAGGCUUUCAGUUAACAGCUGUGCUGAACUCAUCAAGAGUUAAUUUCUUGAAUUUCUCGUAUCUUAAUAAAGUGUUUGAGAGCAUCAGUUAAAGUAAAGUAGUGAAGAGGUAGAGUUACAGGUAUACAGUGAAUAGUGAAUAUUUGAGUAAUGCUCGAAUCCAGAUUAUGAGAAGCACAAACUACUCAACUAAAUAAAGAAAAUAAUUCUUCAAGUACUUUGAAAGUAUCCUCAAGUGCAAUCGCAAAAAAAAGACAAAACGUUAUGAUGAUGAUGAUGAUGAAACUGGCACUAAUCAGGACCGCCCCAGGAAAGGAAGAGCAAGAGUUUCCUCUGUUGUUCAGGAGUUUAUGUAGAGUUACCAGCAUUAGAAACCACUAGUUAACAGCUUCCCAGAUAAGAGCACCGUAAAGCUUUAUAGAUUAUUUUGGUAUGUUUAACACUUUUUUAAUUUACUACAUGAUUCCUUAUUUAUUCAUUUACAAUGUAGAAAAAAAGAAUUGAAUUAAAUGAGAAGGUGUGUCAAAUCUUUUGACUGGUUCUGGUACAUAUUUUAUCUUAGGGUGUACUCACACUAGGCAAUCUGUGCCAUGUAUGGCAACUAUACCAUGCCCUGGCCAGCUUGAAGGAAAAGCACCCCCUCUCGGGAGUGUGCGCUAUGUCGCUGUGUAUGUAUUCGUGACUGAGAUAACCGUGACGUAUUUCUAAGUAAGUUAAAGCAGAUUAUCUCCGCUUUUAUCAAGAAAGCACACUCCUGAGAGAGGGUGCUUUGCAUGGCAGGGGUGCUGAAUUUGGCGCAACACCAUCAAAGCCCGCUGAGCAGUGAGUAAUGAUGUAAGAGUGCUCGGGCACGGAUUGAAUAUUGAAGAGUGUGGAAAGUGUGUAGGCCAGCAGGAAAAUGGGGAGUGUGAGUUCACCCUCAAAAUUACAAUAAUAUAGUUUAUCAUCAUUAUUUCUGACGAUAUAUCAAAAAGAUUUCUAGUUAUUGUGACGGGCUAAAGGAUGAGGCAAGGUCAGAUAAACAGUAGCCUUGUUGUCAAGGAUACGAUUACCAGUAUUUAUACCAUGCAUUUUUUUCAUAAACAUCGAAUGUAAUAAUACUGUAUAUCCAUGUAAAUUAUCUAACAGUUAAAAAUGUUAUUUUUUAAGAAUGUAAUGAGAUGUUUGGUCGAUGCAUGAGGAUUGAGUGCUGUGUACACAGUGGUCGUGGAUCAUCAGCACCAUUUAUCAGUUUUAACUUUCAGUUUCUGCUGUAAUUUUAGUCUAAAAUCUGAACAAAUUCCUGUCUAAAGCAUUAUGCAAGCAAGUUUCUCACUUUCUCCACUUUUUCAAUUAGGUGGUCUAGAGAAAAAAAAAUGAUGCGUUCCAUUUAAGCUCUGAUUUUGGACUUUACUUGUUCCAAGAACUACUUUAUUUGGACGAUAUUUUGAUUUUAAUACCCUUGUAUGUAGGCAUAUCAUGAUAAUUAUCUCAUUGACUUAUUCAGUUUAAAAGUUGACAAAAGUAUUUCAACCACAAUUUGUAUACUUGAAUUAAAGUUACAUGUUUUACGAUUAAAAAUUUCCAGAUUUUAAAAAUUUAAAUCCAUGAAUUUUCAGAUUUAAAAGAAAUCAGAUUCAUGAAUUGUCAGAUUUUUUUUUUCUUUUUAAGAAAUCAGAUAUAUGCAUUUAUAAAUUUAAAAAUACACAUUUUAAUCUCUUUGUUCAAAACUCAUGGGCUAGUUUUGAGUCAAUUUUUGAGUAGAUUUUAAACUUAAACAGAAUUUUUAUAUCUAAAAAUGCAUGCAUCUAAAUUCUUUCAAUCAUAAACCAUGAAUUGUUAUUUUUAAAAGUCCAAAACGUUUAUUUUAAUGUUUUUCUAAUUCUAAUGUAUGAAUUACACUAUUAUUUUUUUUUUUUUGAUGAAUGUUAUGUUAUUGCUUUGGUGUUUGUAUCUUAAUCAGAAAUCAUAUAAAACCUUAUAAUAAGGGUCACAAAUAACAGCAGCUAAGAAACAGUGAUCGGCAUUAUUAAAGUGUUAAGUAAUGAAUCACUAAUUAAGACAUUAUUAAACAUGACUACAUUUUAAUGCUAUAGAAUGUUGUAAAUAUAAAUGAAUUUACAUAAUAUUAGUUAUUCAAAUAUUGCAAUAAUUAAUCAUGUCUUAACUAGUGCCAGUUAAUAAUAAAUUGAGAUAAUCUUAUUUUAAAAUCUUUAUAAUCGUAUUAAUUUUCCAGAAACUCUGAAAUAAAUCUGAGGUAAAUGGAACGCAGCAUUAUUCUUUUUUUCUACUCUCAUCUGAUUGGGCGGUUAAUAGGGACCUAUCUUGAACAAUCCGUGCAUUUAUGUUCUAUCAGUUGAAAACUGUAACUAAUGGGUGCUUGUCAUUUUACCGUUAUUAUUAUAAUUUUUUUUUUAUUAAAUAGAUGUUCAUUUCUUUACGCUGUUUUGUUGUGGGUGUGUUUUUUUGGUGUAAUAAACUGGAUUUAUAAAA